rnacentral:rRNA from 1 species
GACGAACGCUGGCGGCGCGCUUAACACAUGCAAGUCGAACGGAAAGGCCUGCUUUCCCUUGUGGAUUGCGGGUACUCGAGUGGCGAACGGGUGAGUAACACGUGAGUGAUCUGCCCCCAACUUGGGUGUAAGCCUGGGAAACUGGGUCUAAUUCCCGAUAGGACUGCAGGGUGGUGCCUGUGGUGGAAAACGAUUUUCUAGUGGUUGGGGAUGAGCUCGCGGCCUAUCAGCUUGUUGGUGGGGUAAUGGCCUACCAAGGCGGCGACGGGUAGCCGGCCUGAGAGGGUGGACGGCCACAUUGGGACUGAGAUACGGCCCAGACUCCUACGGGAGGCAGCAGUGGGGAAUAUUGCACAAUGGGCGGAAGCCUGAUGCAGUGACGCCGCGUGGGGGAUGACGGCCUUCGGGUUGUAAACUCCUUUCGACCGCGAGGAAGCCACCUGGUUGGAAGGGUGGUGACGGUAGUGGUAGAAGAAGCACCGGCUAACUACGU